CGUUAUGAGUCAGGUUUUUGAAAACUUUGAGGUUGAUGUGCAACUUCUCCGGCCAACAGAUAUUGAGAAGCAACAACCUUACUGGAGUUGGGGUGAUGAUGACAACGAAGAACCAAUGGUUGAAUUAUUUGGGGAUGAGGCCGAAAGAAAAAACCGGCACUUCUAGUGAAGAAAAAGACGCGGAUGUUGAGGAAACAGCCACCCUUCCCUCCUCUUCUAAGGCCAAAGGGUCUGUUAAUGACGUUCGCAGUUUGAAGCAUCAAUUACGCAGCACUAAGGAUCAGUUGGCUAAGCUACGUAGUUCAAAUCGGGGGCUUAGGAACAGAGUUCGUG